UACGGAGGAUCCGAGCGUUAUCCGGAUUUAUUGGGUUUAAAGGGUGCGUAGGCGGAAAUGUAAGUCAGUGGUGAAAUCCUGCAGCUUAACUGUAGAAUAGCCGUUGAAACUGUGUUUCUUGAGUACAUUUGAGGUAGGCGGAAUGUGGUGUGUAGCGGUGAAAUGCAUAGAUAUACCACAGAACACCGAUUGCGAAGGCAGCUUACUAAACUGUCACUGACGCUGAUACACGAAAGCGUGGGUAUCAAACAGGAUUAGAUA
rnacentral:rRNA from 1 species